GAUGAAGAACGCAGCGAAAUGCGAUAAGUAGUGUGAAUUGCAGAAUUCAGUGAAUCAUCGAAUCUUUGAACGCACAUUGCGCCCCAUGGUAUUCCGUGGGGCAUGCCAGUUCGAGCGUCAUUUACCCCCUCAAGCUCCGCUUGGUGUUGGGCGUCUGUCCCGCUUCGCGCGCGGACUCGCCCCAAAGGUAUUGGCAGCGGUCGUGCCAGCUUCUCGCGCAGCACAUUGCGCUUCUCGAGGCACCGGUGGGCCCGCGUCCAUCAAGCUCACCCCCCCAGUUUGACCUCGGAUCAGGUAGGGAUACCCGCUGAACUUAAGCAUAUCAAUAAGCGGAGGA
rnacentral:misc_RNA from 1 species